GAUGAACGCUAGCUACAGGCUUAACACAUGCAAGUCGAGGGUCCGGCGCACGGGUGAGUAACACGUAUCCAACCUGCCCUUUACUCGGGGAUAGCGUUUCGAAAGAAAGAUUAAUACCCGAUGUAAAGGAUGGGGAUGCGUUCCAUUAGGUUGUUGGUGAGGUAACGGCUCCCCAAGCCUUCGAUGGCUAGGGGUUCUGAGAGGAAGGUCCCCCACAUUGGAACUGCGACCCGGUCCAAACUCCUACGGGAGGCAGCAGUGAGGAAUAUUGGUCAAUAGGCGUUAGCCUGAACCAGCCACGUAGCGUGAAGGAUGAAGGCUUCUGUGUCGUAAACUUCUUUUAUAUAAGAAUCUGUAUUAUAUGAAUAAGGAUCGGCUAACUCCGUGCCAGCAGCCGCGGUAAUAC
rnacentral:rRNA from 1 species